UACGUAGGGGGCAAGCGUUGUCCGGAAUUAUUGGGCGUAAAGCGCGCGCAGGCGGUCCUUUAAGUCUGAUGUGAAAGCCCACGGCUCAACCGUGGAGGGUCAUUGGAAACUGGGGGACUUGAGUGCAGAAGAGGAGAGCGGAAUUCCACGUGUAGCGGUGAAAUGCGUAGAGAUGUGGAGGAACACCAGUGGCGAAGGCGGCUCUCUGGUCUGUAACUGACGCUGAGGCGCGAAAGCGUGGGGAGCGAACAGG
rnacentral:rRNA from 1 species